rnacentral:rRNA from 1 species
AAACAAUGGAGAGUUUGAUCCUGGCUCAGGAUGAACG